UACGUAGGGUGCGAGCGUUGUCCGGAAUUAUUGGGCGUAAAGGGCUCGUAGGCGGUCUGUUGCGUCGGUAGUGAAAACUCAGGGCUUAACCCUGAGCCUGCUUCCGAUACGGGCAGACUAGAGGUAUGCAGGGGAGAACGGAAUUCCUGGUGUAGCGGUGAAAUGCGCAGAUAUCAGGAGGAACACCGGUGGCGAAGGCGGUUCUCUGGGACGGUACUGACGCUGAGACGCGAAAGCGUGGGGAGCGAACAGG
rnacentral:rRNA from 1 species